rnacentral:misc_RNA from 1 species
AACUUUUGACAAUGGAUCACUUGGCUCUCGCAUCGAUGAAGAACACAGCGAAAUGUGAUAAGUAAUGUGAAUUGCAGAAUUCAGUGAACCAUCGAAUCUUUGAACGCAUCUUGCGCUCCUUGGUAUUCUGAGGAGCAUGCCUGUUUGAGUGUCAUUAAAUUCUCAACCACACUAAUUUUUAUCGGUGUGGCUUGGAUUAUGGGGUUUCUGCAGGCUUUAAAACCAGCUUCCCUGAAAUGCAUUAGUGGUAUCUGAGCAGACUACAGGUGUGAUAACUAUCUAUGCCUUUGCUGAAAACAGAUUACACUGCUUCAAACAACAAACUAUUGUUUUUGUUUGACCUCAAAUCAGGUAGGACUGCCCGCUGAACUUAAGCAUAUCAAUAAGCGGAGGCU